rnacentral:rRNA from 1 species
AGGGUGACUGCGUACCUUUUGUAUAAUGGGUCAGCGACUUACAUUCAGUGGCAAGGUUAACCGAAUAGGGAAGCCGUAGAGAAAUCGAGUCCGAACAGGGCGUCCAGUCGCUGGGUGUAGACCCGAAACCAAGUGAUCUAUCCAUGGCCAGGAUGAAGGUGCCGUAACAGGUACUGGAGGUCCGAACCGACUAGUGUUGCAAAACUAGCGGAUGAGCUGUGGAUAGGGGGUGAAAGGCUAAACAAACUUGGAAAUAGCUGGUUCUCUCCGAAAACUAUUUAGGUAGUGCCUCAAGUAUUACCUCGGGGUAGGAGCACUGUUUUGGUCUAGGGGUCGAUGGCGACUUACCAAACCAAACGGACGAAACUACCGAAUACCGAAGAGUAGAGCUUGGGAGACAGAGCACCGGGUGCUAACGUCCGGACUCAAGAGGGAAACAACCCAGACCGCCAGCUAAGGUCCCUAAAAAUUAGGCUAAGUGGGAAACGAAGU